CCUACGGGAGGCAGCAGUGAGGAAUAUUGGUCAAUGGGCGCGAGCCUGAACCAGCCAAGUAGCGUGAAGGAUGACUGCCCUACGGGUUGUAAACUUCUUUUAUAAAGGAAUAAAGUGAGGCACGUGUGCCUUUUUGUAUGUACUUUAUGAAUAAGGAUCGGCUAACUCCGUGCCAGCAGCCGCGGCAAUACGGAGGAUCCGCGCGUUAUCCGGAUUUAUUGGGUUUAAAGGGAGCGUAGAUGGGUUGUUAAGUCAGUUGUGAAAGUUUGCGGCUCAACCGUAAAAUUGCAAUUGAUACUGGCAGUCUUGAGUACAGUUGAGGUCGGCGGACUUCGUGUUGUCGCGGUGAGAUGCUUAGAUAUCACGAAGAACUCCGAUUGC
rnacentral:rRNA from 1 species